UACGUAGGGGGCUAGCGUUGUCCGGAUUUAUUGGGCGUAAAGAGCGUGUAGGCGGCCAUGUAGGUCCGGUGUGAAAACUCGAGGCUUAACCUCGAGAUGUCAUCGGAAACCAUUUGGCUAGAGUCCGGAAGAGGAGAGUGGAAUUCCUGGUGGUAGCGGUGAAAUGCGCAGAUAUCAGGAAGAACACCAAUGGCGAAAGCAGCUCUCUGGGACGGUACUGACGCUGAGACGCGAAAGCGUGGGGAGCGAACAGG
rnacentral:rRNA from 1 species